UUAGGAAUUUUGGGCAAUGGGCGAAAGCCUGACCCAGCAACGCCGCGUGGGUGAUGAAGGCCCUCGGGUCGUAAAGCCCUUUUCCCAGGGACGAUGAUGACGGUACCUGGGGAAUCAGCCCCGGCUAACUACGUGCCAGCAGCCGCGGUAAUACGUAGGGGGCAAGCGUUGUCCGGAUUUAUUGGGCGUAAAGCGCUCGCAGGUGGUGCGUCGCGUCGUGCGUGAAAGACCCCGGCUCAACUGGGGAGGGUCGUGCGAUACGGGCGGACUGGAGGCCAGUAGGGGGAUGCGGAAUUCCGGGUGUAGUGGUGGAAUGCGUAGAGAUCCGGAGGAACACCAGCGGCGAAGGCGGCAUCCUGGACUGGUUCUGACACUCAAGAGCGAAAGCGUGGGGAGCGAUCCG
rnacentral:rRNA from 1 species